GUUUAUUUGACCUUGUUAAAGAAUUUAAGAUUGUGUUGUUCAGGACAUUGUUAUUAAUUUACAGAUAAAAACAGUUUGAAUUGAUAUUGAGGAAAUUAGUAUAUAUAAAACGUGUUUCUGUCCAGCUCCUAAAACAGACUUGAUUAAACCUAAUCGAGUGCCAAUUAAUAUACUUGUUAACAUAACAAGCUUCAAUUAAGAAACAAUUAUUAUUAGAUUAAUAUUUUAUAUCGAUUUGUGAAGACAGGAAACUGAAAGCAUGGAAACAGAAGUUUGGACAGGAAAAUGAAUAAAAAAGUGAUUAAUAAAAAAUAAAAUGGUAAUGAAAAUAAUACUACCAUAUACUAUUAUUAUCGAUUUGAGACGAAAUUAUAAAAUUAGACUUCGAGUCAUCCCUAUGCACUCGUAUCCUUGUCUACAAAUAUAAUUAUUAAUAUUUAAUCAUACAUUUAUAGGUUGACGAAAGGGUAGAAGAUUAUACACAGAACCAGAAAUGGUCAUACAUAUCAGGGAUGCUAGGACACAAUAUUUCUUGCCCUUUGCAUUACAUAAAAAACAAACUAACAAUGUUAUGAAAAUAUUACAAACUAGGAUUGUAUAAUAAUGGUAAAGCUUAAAACUUUAUGUAUUUAUAUAGAAUUUAAAAAAUAUGCUCACACGUUGAAUAAUAAUAAUUGUUAUAUUGCUUAAUUUUAUUAAAAUAUAUUACAGCAGCCUCUUUCCACAACAUUUUAGAUCAUUAGAUUAGAUAAAGAUCUCUUCGCUUUUCAAUAGAAUUCUUUCACUUGUGUACAUAGUUUGUUUUUUUUUUAUUUAAUUUAAAUUUAUUUUUAUAUCAAACAACAUUUCUGGCCU